rnacentral:rRNA from 1 species
UACGGAGGGUGCAAGCGUUGUUCGGAUUUACUGGGCGUAAAGCGCGCGCAGGUGGGUGAACAAGUCGGAAGUGAAAUCUUGAGGCUCAACCUCGAGGCUGCUCCCGAAACUGUUCGCCUAGGGACUGGUAGAGGCUGGUAGAAUUCCCGGUGUAGCGGUGGAAUGCGUAGAGAUCGGGAGGAACACCGGUGGCGAAGGCAGGUCUCUGGGCCGUAACUGACGCUGAGGAGCGAAAGCAUGGGGAGCGAACAGG